rnacentral:rRNA from 1 species
UACAGAGGGGGCAAGCGUUAUUCGGAAUUAUUGGGCGUAAAGGGCGCGUAGGCGGCUUGGCAAGUGGAAGGUGAAAUCCCUCGGCUUAACCGAGGAACUGCCCUCCAAACUGCUUAGCUUGAGACCGGGAGAGGUGAGUGGAAUUCCCAGUGUAGCGGUGAAAUGCGUAGAUAUUGGGAGGAACACCAGUGGCGAAGGCGGCUCACUGGACCGGUACUGACGCUGAUGCACGAAAGCGUGGGGAGCAAACGGG